GGCUCAGAACGAACGCUGGCGGCGCGUUUAAGCAUGCAAGUCGAGCGGCAAGGGCCUUCGGGCCCCUAGAGCGGCGGACGGGUGAGUAACACGUGGACAAUCUGCCCCCCGGCCCGGGAUAGCCCAGGGAAACCUGGAUUAAUACCGGAUGAGACGGGACCCGCGAUGGCGGGAUCCGGGAAAGGCGCUGCGGCGCCGCCGGGGGAUGAGUCUGCGUCCCAUUAGCUAGACGGCGGGGUAACGGCCCACCGUGGCGACGAUGGGUAGCCGGCCUGAGAGGGUGGACGGCCACAUUGGAACUGAGACACGGUCCAGACUCCUACGGGAGGCAGCAGCUAAGAAUCUUCCGCAAUGGGCGAAAGCCUGACGGAAGCGACGCCGCGUGAACGAAGAAGGCCGUGAGGUUGUAAAGUUCUUUUCGGGAGGGGGAACAACCGUGGCAGGGAAUGGCCGCGGGAUGACGUGAAUCCCGGAAUAAGCCCCGGCUAACUACGUGCCAGCCGCCGC
rnacentral:rRNA from 1 species